UACAGAGGGUGCAAGCGUUGUUCGGAAUUAUUGGGCGUAAAGGGCGCGUAGGCGGCCCGGUAAGUCAAAGGUGAAAUCCCUCGGCUCAACUGAGGAACUGCCUUUGAAACUGUCGGGCUUGAGGCCGGGAGGGGGUAGCGGAAUUCCCAGUGUAGCGGUGAAAUGCGUAGAUAUUGGGAGGAACACCGGUGGCGAAGGCGGCUACCUGGACCGGUUCUGACGCUGAUGCGCGAAAGCGUGGGUAGCAACAGG
rnacentral:rRNA from 1 species